AGUCAUAUGCUUGUCUCAAAGAUUAAGCCAUGCAUGUCUAAGUACAGGCCGAACUGACGGCGAAACCGCGGACGGCUCAUUAAAUCAGAUAUAAUUCAUUGGAUCUGUACAACACACUUACUUGGAUAACUGUGGUAAUUCUAGAGCUAAUACAUGCCUUUAGAGACUCUGACAGCAAUGGAAGAGCGCUUUUAUUAGUCCAAAACCAAUCGGACCUUGUGCCGUAAGAAUUUGGUGAAUCUAGAUAACUUUUGCUGAGCGCACGUUCCUCGAAGCGGCGCCGCAUCUUGCAAGUGUCUGCCUUAUCAGCUGUCGAUUGUAGGUCAAACGCCUACAAUGGCUAUAACGGGUAACGGGGAAUCAGGGUUCGAUUCCGGAGAGGGAGCCUGAGAAACGGCUACCACAUCUAAGGAAGGCAGCAGGCGCGCAAAUUACCCACUCCCGGCACGGGGAGGUAGUGACGAAAAAUACUAUUGCGAGACUCCAAUCGAGGCUUCGCAAUUGGAAUGAGUACACUUUAAAUCCUUGUACGAGUAUCGAGUGGAGGGCAAGUCUGGUGCCAGCCGCCGCGGUAAUUCCAGCUCCAUUAGCGUAUAUUAAUGUUGUUGCGGUUAAAACGCUCGUAGUUGGCUCUCUGUUCUGGACUGUUGGUUCACCUUAGCGGUGCCUGACUGUACAGCUCCGAGCUAACUACCCUCCGGCUCGCCCGGGGUUCUCUUCACCGAGUGUCCCUCGCUGCCGGGACGUUUACCUUGAAAAAAUUAGAGUGCUCAGAGCAGGCUAAACUAAAAGCUUGAAUGGUGUUGCAUGGAAUAAUGGAAUAGGACCUCGGUUCUAUUUGGUUUGGUUUUCGGAACCCGAGGUAAUGAUUAAGAGGAGCAGGCGGGGGCAUUCGUACUGCGACGAUAGAGGUGAAAUUCUUAGACCGUCGCAUGACGAGCGACUGCGAAAGCAUCUGCCUAGGAUGUUUUCAUUAAUCAAGAACGAAAGUUAGAGGUUCGAAGGCGAUCAGAUACCGCCCUAGUUCUAACCGUAAACGAUGCUGACCAGCGAUCCGCCGCAGUUAUUCCCAUGACCCGGCGGGGAGCUUCCGGGAAACCAAAGUAUUUGAGUUCCGGGGGAAGUAUGGUUGCAAAGCUGAAACUUAAAGGAAUUGACGGAAGGGCACCACCAGGAGUGGAGCCUGCGGCUUAAUUUGACUCAACACGGGGAAUCCUACCAGGCCCGGACACUGGAAGGAUUGACAGAUUGAAAGCUCUCUCUUGAUUCGGUGGGUGGUGGUGCAUGGCCGUUCUUAGUUGGUGGAGUGAUUUGUCUGGUUAAUUCCGAUAACGAACGAGACUCUAGCCUAUUAAAUAGUCGACGGACGAGGAUGAUGAUGUAUGAUCUCCUGUUUGCUGCUACCCAUCUUAUAAUAUUAUCUUAUGAGGUGGGAGGAGCACUGUCCAGCUCGCAACUUCUUCUUAGAGGGAUAAGCGGCAGCAAAAAAGAUACUAGCCGCACGAGACGUUGAGCCAUAACAGGUCUGUGAUGCCCUUAGAUGUUCUGGGCCGCACGCGCGCUACAAUGGAGAGUUCAACAAGCUCUCCCUGCUCCGACAGGAGUGGGUAACCUUCCCAAAGCUGUCCAUAAAGGGGAUUGGGGCUUGCAAAUGUGUCCCAUGAACGAGGAAUUCCCAGUAGGCGCAAUUCACCAGAUUGCACCGAUUUAGUCCCUGCCCUUUGUACACACCGCCCGUCGCUACUACCGAUUGAAUGGUCUAGUGAGGGCAUCGGACUGGCACCCUCGGAGUGGUCUUCUGUCUCUUAUUACCUCGCUAUUAUUAUACGUUUUCCUCCUCGUGGGGAGUAGUAUUAUAAAGAAGGGGGAGCAGGAGCAACCGCCUUGGGUCGACGGAAAGAUGUCCGAGCUGGGUCAUUUAGAGGAAGUAAAAGUCGUAACAAGGUUUCCGUAGGUGAACCUGC
rnacentral:rRNA from 1 species